rnacentral:rRNA from 1 species
AGGGAAUCUUCCGCAAUGGACGAAAGUCUGACGGAGCAACGCCGCGUGAGUGAAGAAGGCCUUCGGGUCGUAAAACUCUGUUGCCGGGGAAGAACAAGUGCCGUUCGAACAGGGCGGUGCCUUGACGGUACCCGGCCAGAAAGCCACGGCUAACUACGUGCCAGCAGCCGCGGUAAUACGUAGGUGGCAAGCGUUGUCCGGAAUUAUUGGGCGUAAAGCGCGCGCAGGCGGCUUCUUAAGUCUGAUGUGAAAUCUUGCGGCUCAACCGCAAGCGGUCACUGGAAACUGGACGGCUUGAGUGCAGAAGAGGAGAGUGGAAUUCCACGUGUAGCGGUGAAAUGCGUAGAGAUGUGGAGGAACACCAGUGGCGAAGGCGACUCUCUGGGCUGUAACUGACGCUGAGGCGCGAAAGCGUGGGGAGCAAAC